GAUUCUUUGAAGGGGAUUAGACAUCCAGCUCAGGUACAUGAGGGAGCCCAGCCCAGAGCAGCCCAGCCUUAGGCAGAGACACAUGCUCACACUCUGCAGCCAGUCUUGGAUCGGAUCAACAUUUGAAGAUCAGAGGAACAGGGGACACCGAAGACAAUUUGGACUAGGAUCCAAGACUCCACCCAAGACCCCCUUAGAAGCAG
ensembl:lincRNA A930002I21Rik RIKEN cDNA A930002I21 gene